rnacentral:rRNA from 1 species
UACGUAGGGUCCAAGCGUUAUCCGGAAUUACUGGGCGUAAAGCGUGCGCAGGCGGUUGUGCAAGACAGAUGUGAAAUCCCCGGGCUCAACCUGGGAACUGCAUUUGUGACUGCACGGCUAGAGUGUGUCAGAGGGGGGUAGAAUUCCACGUGUAGCAGUGAAAUGCGUAGAUAUGUGGAGGAAUACCGAUGGCGAAGGCAGCCCCCUGGGAUAACACUGACGCUCAUGCACGAAAGCGUGGGGAGCAAACAGG